UGGGCCGUUUGAUCCUGGCUCAGAUUGAACGCUGGCGGCAUGCUUUACACAUGCAAGUCGAGCGGCAGCGCGGGGGCAACCCUGGCGGCGAGCGGCGAACGGGUGAGUAAUGCAUCGGAACGUGUCCCGUAAUGGGGGAUAACGCCGCGAAAGCGGCGCUAAUACCGCAUACGCUCUACGGAGGAAAGUGGGGGAUCCGCAAGGACCUCACGUUAGGGGAGCGGCCGAUGUCCGAUUAGCUAGUUGGUGAGGUAACGGCCCACCAAGGCGACGAUCGGUAGCUGGUCUGAGAGGAUGAUCAGCCACACUGGGACUGAGACACGGCCCAGACUCCUACGGGAGGCAGCAGUGGGGAAUUUUGGACAAUGGGGGCAACCCUGAUCCAGCCAUGCCGCGUGCGGGAAGAAGGCCUUCGGGUUGUAAGCCGCUUUUAGUCGGGAAGAAAAGGCACGGGCGAAUACCCCGUGUUGUUGACGGUACCGGCGGAAUAAGCACCGGCUAACUACGUGCCAGCAGCCGCGGUAAUACGUAGGGUGCGAGCGUUAAUCGGAAUUACUGGGCGUAAAGCGUGCGCAGGCGGUUCGUUGUGUCGGUGGUGAAAUCCCCGGGC
rnacentral:rRNA from 1 species